GAGGGAAUAGCUCAGUGGUAGAGUGCAUGCUUAGCACGCACGAGGUCCUGGGUUCAAUCCCCAGUACCUCCA
rnacentral:tRNA from 1 species